UAGGGAGAGACGUGGCAGCGCUCAUGCACAAGGGACAGUGCUGUUGAAAAUAAUUAAUAGAAGAAUAUUGGAGAAGGGAGAGUGCAGGGAGAGUACAGGGAGACUACAGGGAGAGCGCAGAAGAGUGCAUGGAGACUUAUUCUGCAUCUGUUUUAUUUAUUUAUUCCUACAUCAGCCGUAAAUGUAAUUGAAAACCAAUAAGAUGCAAGCCUUUAUUAUUCUGGUGCCAGCAUGCCAACCAAUACCACCCAGUCUGCACCCCUUAGAGGGGCCAGGUCUUAAUGAUGACCAUCCUCAUCUUUUGAUGGCUUUACUUCUUCAAAAUUAUCCUUCAAACUCUCCAUGUCCUAUAAAAGUCAGCAAGAUGCAGAGAAAGGAGGAGCUGGAUGUUCCUGAUGACAAAUUCUCAUCGAUAUUAGAUGAGGUGGAAAAGGAGGAAAAGCAGAUGUAUUAAAGAAGGGCUCCCCCCUGUAGGACAGGAGAGCGGUGGGGUUGGAGAAGUGGGUAUGCCACAGCUGAUUAAUAUUCUGUGUUUACUUCAAAUAAAUUGCAGGUGCUUGCAGGCAAGAAUAGCAAUAAUAUGCAUAUCGUGCCCUCACCUAACCAGCCAAACCUGUUUAAAGGUGCCGUGCGGCCAUUAACAAUGAAGGACUAUACAGUGCGGUCUUCAUUAUUAAAUGAAAUUGAUCAUUGGCCGCACAAUUCUUCACCGCAGCAUGGCUGCAACCCCCGCCCACAGUAUGGCCACUCCGUGUGCCUGUGCCCAGCUACCAGGCGCACAAACAACAGGUCAGCCAGUUCCAUAGGUACAAAUCUACUGACAGAUGCCCUUUAAUACUCCACCUAUGGGUGCAUAUAAUGGUCAUAUUGUUUUAUCAAUAGCUAACUUUAAGAUGCAGUUUUCCGGUUCCCUUUCAGAAGGAGGAAAUCUUUUGCAAUGCACCAACAUAUUUGUCCAGCGGGCUGUGCUGUCAGGGCUGUGAUAACAUCCCAGUGGAUUCCUGCUCUAAAGAAACAAACCAGAUUCAGACAGAACGAGGGGAAGGAUUUGAGUUCUGUAAAUGUCAAGAAGUAGCCCUUCAAUGCCACUCAUGUUCCUCCAAACAUGGAUGCGGCAGGGAAGCCACCUCACAAAGUUCAGAGUCAGAUCAAAACCCUACAAACCCGAGGAACUGGGUACCGUUAGUUAUUUUUAACAAGCCUAAGAUUGUGGAUGAGAAUUUGAGGCCUUGAGAACUUGACGUUUAGAAGAUCCAGGAUUAAAUAUACCAGACCUGUUAUUAACUUCUGAUGUCAGCUUCUUGAAGGUUCUUCGUCAUUCCAAAGUUCUCAGAAGUACAAAGCAUGGUUGACAGUACAUACGACAUGUCCCGUCCCAAUAACACAGCUGACAUUUACAUAAGUACUACUGGAAAGCAGUUUAUUAUUUUGUUCAUGACUGAUACUUGAUGUAAGAAGUUACUGCUGUGUCCUGGGUGAAGAAGAUAUACAAGGUAGUACUACUGGAUGAUGAGGACAAAAAAAGCCAAAAGCUUUCCAUUGUUCGAAAAUGGUUUCAGAGAGCACUUUUGAGUAGAGUUGAGCGAACCCAAACUGCAAAGUUCGGGUUCGUACCGAACU